ensembl:lncRNA
AGUCACAUUCAGUUGGCAUAAAUUCAACGAAUUCAGCUUUAAAAUUGCAAUAAUGAACAAUAAAAUAAAGUCCAUUUUCUCCACGAAGCCCCAUAUAAAAGAAUAUAAUAUGAAAUGAUCAAGAUCAAGAAGAAUAUGAUCACCUAAGGAUUGUGUCCAUCUUUCUGGGAUACAGGCGGGACAGGUCUGCGGGAAUUUAAGAGGACAGCGCCACCGUCUUCCAAGUAUAGGUCUCUGCAGGAAAUUAAUGGGAGUUUCCAAAUCGGGGUGUUUUUAGACCAUUUUUAGACCCAUCGGUGGGUUUAGGGGUGGGGUGAGGUAAGGGGGAUAAUUUUUAUUGCAUGAUUGAGAAACACCUUGCAGUUUGAAAACACCCACAAAUUCAGAAACGCCCACUUUUGCUCUGCAGAGACCUCAAUCUCCCGUCUUCACUAGCCUCGUUAAAACCGGAUGUAAGUAAAGCGGCGGAAUCUACUUACGGCGCUCGCUAUUGCUAGGCGACAGGCUUUUUGCGUGACCCGAUUCGAGCACCAUACAGGGUCGCCUCGUCAUUGUAGCGGCUCCCUCUUCGCUCACAUCUUCCUCUCCUCUGCAUCCCUCCACACACAUUCCAGGUAGCCAGACGACCUAGAAAAUGUCUUACGCGGGGAAUGCGCUGGUGAUAUUAUUCGGAGUCUUGAUGCUGCAUUCGGGCUCCGCUCAGAACGAUUUGGAGAAAUUGAGCAUUGCAUCACUUGCUUACCAAUGGAUCCUCUGCAGCGAAUGGGUGCCGUCAGAACGAGAGUUUUAAAAGCAACGAAAACAAUGUUUUGAAGUUAAAAAUGUCUUAUUGAUGGAUUUGUUUAUUACAAACAUGCAGCUUUUUCUUCACAAGACAUUAAUUGAUGGACUGGAGUCGUGUGGAUUAUAGAGUGCUGCAGCCGUGACAGCAAAACCCAUUCCCCAUUUGUGAGGGGCCACAAACUCAUAUGAAGAUCAAACCCAACACUUUUCCUUUCAUCUCACUCACAUGCAUUUUAUCUCUUCCAUACAAAUGCAUGAGCACACGCAGACACAUUUGAUCAAAUGGAUCAUUUUGGCAUAGCUGUCUUUGGUUACAGGGAUAAGAGCACAACAGCACUUGCUGCCUUUAGGCUAACAAGGUUUUUGCUUCUAUCUUUAGCAAGUGACUGUAUGCAAUAGCAAACAUACCCUGUCCACAUAUGUUCAUUAGUUCCUCAAUCUUAGAUUCACUUACACUGAUGGAGACAAUAAAAUGAUAAAAAAAAAAAAAAAUUAUUGUUCC